GACGUGUAGGGCGAACGUUGUUCGGAAUUACUGGGCGUAAAGGGCGCGUAGGCGGUCUGAAUAGUCGAAGUUGAAAUCCCGGAGCUCAACUCCGGAACUGGCUUCGAAACUCUCGGACUUGAGCGUAACAGGGGAGUGUGGAACUUCUGGUGGAGCGGUGAAAUGCGUAGAUAUCAGAAGGAACACCGGUGGCGAAGGCGACGCUCUGGGUUACUGCUGACGCUGAGGCGCGAACGCGUGGGGAGCAAACAGG
rnacentral:rRNA from 1 species